UCUUAGGUGGCCCUUAUUUGUGUAAAAUAUAAAUGUAAAAUUGGGCUUAAUAUUAAGAGUUGCUUCUUUUGUGAGAGGCCCAAACCCUUCUAAGAAGCGGUGACGUGGCAUUUUGAAGGUGUCGCCAUAACUUGAAAGCUGGUUGAUUGGAAUGGAGAAGUUUGCAACACAAGCAAUAUUGAUUGUCUUUUUCUCCAUUGAAUUGCUUUUGCUUCGU